UUGCGCAAUGGAGGAAACUCUGACGCAGCCACGCCGCGUGCAGGAUGACACCCCUAUGGGGCGUAAACUGCUUUUAUGUGAGAAGAAAUCCCGACUCGGUCGGGCCUGACGGUAUCACAGGAAUAAGCACCGGCUAACUCCGUGCCAGCAGCCGCGGUAAUACGGAGGGUGCAAGCGUUGUCCGGAAUCACUGGGUGUAAAGGGUGUGUAGGCGGGACUGUAAGUCAGAGGUGAAAUCCCACGGCUCAACCGUGGAACUGCCUUUGAUACUGCAGUUCUUGAGUAUCGGAGAGGUUGCUGGAAUUCGUGGUGUAGCGGUGAAAUGCGUAGAUAUCACGAGGAACACCAGAGGCGUAGGCGGGCAACUGGACGAUUACUGACGCUGAGGCACGAAAGCGUGGGGAGCAAACAGGAUUAGAUACCCUGGUAGUCCACGCUGUAAACGAUGAAUGCUCGAUGUUGCACCAAUUGCGGUGCAGUGUCUAAGCUAACGCGUUAAGCAUUCCACCUGGGGAGUACGCUCGCAAGAGUGAAACUUAAAUGAAUUGAC
rnacentral:rRNA from 1 species